GAUGAACGCUGGCGGCGUGCCUAAUACAUGCCAGUCGAGCGAACGGACGAGAAGCUUGCUUCUCUGAUGUUAGCGGCGGACGGGUGAGUAACACGUGGAUAACCUACCUAUAAGACUGGGAUAACUUCGGGAAACCGGAGCUAAUACCGGAUGAUAUUUUGAACCGCAUGGUUCAAAAGUGAAAGACGGUCUUGCUGUCACUUAUAGAUGGAUCCGCGCUGCAUUAGCUAGUUGGUAAGGUAACGGCUUACCAAGGCAACGAUGCAUAGCCGACCUGAGAGGGUGAUCGGCCACACCGGAACUGAGACACGGUCCAGACUCCUACGGGAGGCAGCAGUAGGGAAUCUUCCGCAAUGGGCGAAAGCCUGACGGAGCAACGCCGCGUGAGUGAUGAAGGUCUUCGGAUCGUAAAACUCUGUUAUUAGGGAAGAACAUAUGUGUAAGUAACUGUGCACAUCUUGACGGUACCUAAUCAGAAAGCCACGGCUAACUACGUG
rnacentral:rRNA from 1 species